rnacentral:rRNA from 1 species
UGAUCAGCCAUGCCGCGUGAGUGAAGAAGGCCUUCGGGUUGUAAAGCUCUUUCAGAUGCGAAGAUGAUGACGGUAACAUCAGAAGAAGCCCCGGCUAAUUUCGUGCCAGCAGCCGCGGUAAUACGAAAGGGGCUAGCGUUGUUCGGAUUUACUGGGCGUAAAGGGCACGCAGGCGGUCUUGCCAGUCAGGGGUGAAAGCCCGGGGCUCAACCCCGGAACUGCCUCUGAUACUGCAAGACUAGAGACUAGGAGAGGGUGGUGGAAUUCCCAGUGUAGAGGUGAAAUUCGUAGAUAUUGGGAGGAACACCAGAGGCGAAGGCGGCCACCUGGACUAGAUCUGACGCUCAGGUGCGAAAGCGUGGGGAGCAAACAGGAUUAGAUACCCUGGUAGUCCACGCCGUAAACGAUGAGUGCUAGUUGUCGGGAUUUCGAUUUCGGUGACGCAGCUAACGCAUUAAGCACUCCGCCUGGGGAGUACGGUCGCAAGAUUAAAACUCAAAGGAAUUGACGGA